rnacentral:rRNA from 1 species
ACCAGAAUGGGAUCAGCCGAAGGGAAACCGAGUCUUAACUGGGCGUUAAGUUGCAGGGUAUAGACCCGAAACCCGGUGAUCUAGCCAUGGGCAGGUUGAAGGUUGGGUAACACUAACUGGAGGACCGAACCGACUAAUGUU